ensembl:lncRNA LINC01257 long intergenic non-protein coding RNA 1257
AUCAGCUUUUAUGUUCAGAAGGCAGGGCACACCUGGAAGCUGUUGUCGAGGGAUGGCCUGAUUGAGCUCGUGAGGCCCUGGGCGUGCGGGUGUGGAAUAUCCUGCUCCAAUCAAAGCCAUGUCACCUGCGUUGUCCAGUGAAACGUCAGCGGACAGGCGCUGCCCGGGCUCCAGGGAGCUCCUCACUGAGGCUCACUCCCUGUGCCUCUGCCAUCAGCACAGGGGGACAUGCCUGGCUGCCUGUGGGACCAGGGAGGACGCGCGGUGCGGGAGCAGAGCCAGCCACACUGCCGCUGCUGCACUGUUCAUCUGAGUGGCGCAAGAACUUGUCAGUGCCUUUAAUCUGAGGGAUGAGUCUUCAGGAGAGUUUGUUGUCAGGAUUUAACACUUACUCUUGGAAAAGCAGUAAUGUGUGCUGGAAAUGAACCGGGCAGACCCUGCUCCCAUCUCCAUCUGCCUCAAUCUCAGUGCCCUCCACUCCCCACCAGCAGCGCCUGUUACCAAGUCACUGCACAACAACCACAAAUGGAGAGUGGAGGAGCAUCACUUUCCACCCCGGGAUCAUGACGAGGGCUCUGUAACUUCAACAAAUGCGCAGAAGACGCCUGGCCUCGAGCUUGUGCAGCACCUCCGGAGCCUGCCUUCCCUUGUCACCCACGGCACCAUGACUUUGGAGGGUCUCAGCUCAGUCCUCCCUCCAGAGGGGCUGUCAGUGCUGGGCAGAAAAUCACCCUUCAACGACCGGGCCCAGCUGCGCUCUGUCAGAGAGCAGAGAAAGCAGGCCUCCGGGAGGUUCUCACUCCACCAAGGAGACGUCUCCACCCAGCGCUCAUCCUGAGCAAGGGCACUGGGAGGAAGAAAUGCAAUUUUAAAACCUGUGCUGCGAAUGAUGACUUCUGCUGCUUCCGUCUCUGGAGAGCUCUGGGCACUUAACAUCCUUCCACCCACAUGCCCGAGUCUGUGCAGAAACCUCACCCACGCGGAGGAGACUGCAUUUCCCAGUAGCAGAUUCAAGUCCUGAACUUCCUGUACCACAAAGUGUUACCCACACUGGUGGGUGCCAGCCUGAGACUCAACUAUCAGGAAAAACAUGAAGAAUUCAGUCCAUGCCCUCAAAUGCACCCAUGUGGCUCCCAAACGGCAAAUCUCAGCAAUGAGAUUCUCAGCUAGGAAAGUCCACACUGAACUCAUGCAGAGGACAAAGUACAUAGGCCUGGGGUUCUUGGCACCUGAGAUCUCUGAGCAGUUUUCUGAAUUUUCCUAUUUCCUGUUGAAGACAUAGGAACACGUGGCACAGAGGCACAGAGACCUGGAAACCAACAGGUGACCUCAGGGAGGUUUGUGAAGCACCCUGAUGAGAAGACAGUUGGGCAGACGUGGCUGGCUAUUCCCCAAGUCCAUUUUCCCUCCUGGGACCAGAGCUGACUCCAUUUCUCAAUCUGCCUUGCAGUGAGCAUAGUCAGGUGUACAGGCUCACUCAACCCUCGUAAGAGCCAGAAAAGGGGCCGGAUGCGGUGGCUCACCCCUGUAAUCCCAGCACUUUGGGAGGCCGAGAUGGGUGGAUUGCUUGAGCCCAGGAGUUUGAGACCAGCCUGGGCAACAUAGUGAGGCCCCAUCUCUAUUAAAAUUGGUUUUAAAAAAGAGCCAGAAGUGGCAGGUGCUGUUCUCAUCCCCACUUCACAGACGAGGAACCUGAGGGUCCGAGACACAGGAAGCUGCUUGAUCCUCCAGCCAGGAUGAGGCUGAGGGAGAGCCCAGGCCAACCCGCUCUUGGAGUUUGGACUUUCAACCGCGAAUUUUCCACAACCGUAUGGAAAUGUUCGUCCAGGGGUUCUGGAAACACUCAGUCCCCAUGGUCUGUCUUCUGUUUUCCUAUUUUUGGUAAGCAUUAAAAACAAAACAAAACAAAACAAAA